rnacentral:rRNA from 1 species
AGAGUUUGAUCCUGGCUCAGGAUAAACGCUGGCGGCGUGCCUAACACAUGCAAGUCGAACGCUCUGCGCAAGCAGAGAGUGGCGGACGGGUGAGGAACGCGUGGGAAUCUGCCUUGAGGUGAGGAAUACCGGCGAGAAAUCGCCGACAAUACCGCAUACGCCCGGAGACGGGCAAAGUCGCAAGACGCCUUGGGAAGAGC